UACGUAGGGUGCGAGCGUUGUCCGGAAUUAUUGGGCGUAAAGAGCUUGUAGGCGGUUUGUCGCGUCUGCUGUGAAAUCUCAAGGCUCAACCUUGAGCUUGCAGUGGGUACGGGCAGACUAGAGUGUGGUAGGGGAGACUGGAAUUCCUGGUGUAGCGGUGAAAUGCGUAGAUAUCAAGAGGAACACCAGUGGCGAAGGCGACUACCUGGCCUGUUCUUGACGCUGGAGGCGCGAAAGCGUGGGGAGCGAACAGG
rnacentral:rRNA from 1 species